UCAUCUUCACCUUUGGUAUCAAUAUAUUUGCAAAUACAUCCCCUUUCGUUAAAGUCGCAAUACUUGGAAUAAGAGUACAUCGGAGGAAGCAAAUGUCAGCAUCAAAGCUUCCUAUCAGAGGAGGGAGAAAGAAGAAAUGCAAACGAGAACACGAAGAUUAGAGUUGAGGCCAAAGGUACAAACCGUCACGUAAAGGCUUGCUUAUUGGGAGUGUCUUGUUUGAUUUUAUCACUUCUAUCUCUGCAAAUUGAGAGUUCAAGCCUGCAUCUUGCUGAAGACAAGGCUGGCUUGGAGGUUGUCCUGCAUGAUAUAGAUAUAAAUAGAUGAGUGAAAAGUAAAACCCGUUGACAGCUAAAUGCCGACAUGCUUCCUACCAGAGGGGGCAGACAGAAGUAAUGCAAACGAAAACAGGAAGAUUAGAGUUGGGACCAGAGGUACGAACCGUCACGUAAAGGCUUGACUACUGGGACUGCCUUGUUUGAUUUUAUCUCUUUGAUCUUCGCAAAUGGAGAGUUCAAGCCUGCAUCUUGCCGAAGACAAGGCCUGCUUGGAAGUUGUCCUGCAUGGUAUGAUGGUAGCCAUAAACAGAUGGGAGUGAAAAAUCAAAACCUGUCAACGGCUCAUUCCAAUACCAAUACCAGGAUGCACCCAAUACCAAUAGCACGUCUUUAGUUUCUUUUUGUUUAACAAAGUAAUUUGAUUUCACUUUCUAAAUUAAUUGUUGAAUCGUGUGAUCUAAAUUGGUGAUACUAAAUUAUUAAUCCCAUGGAUUCAUGCAUGUAUAGCACAGUUUAACGUUAUUUGUGAUUCAUCCCAUGAUACCAAUAACUAAAUUGCUACGUCGUAUUAAAUCAUGAUAUGCUAUUCAAAUAAAGUCUUUCCUUUUUAGA